rnacentral:lncRNA from 1 species
GUGUGUGUGUGUGUGUGUGUGUGUUCUGCUUAAAGAUUGCCACCCGAGCUAGCCCCUGUUGCCCAUCUUCGUCAGUUUCAGAGGGUAGAUUUCUCAGUGUUGAUUUUCCCCCAGUUCUCCACGCCCUCGUGCUUUUUUUUUUUUUUUAAUUUCCUUAAAUGUCGGCACCUCAGCUAGCCUCUUUUUCCCAUCUUCGUCCGUUUCAGCGGGUAGACUCUCCGCCUGCCUUCGACAGACCCUCUGCGCUUGAAAGCUUUCCUCCUCCCGUCAUCACGGUCCUUCUCGGAUGACGUGCCUGGUUUCGGUUUGACCGUCCCCGCCCGCCCUGAUUUUCUAAGUCCUCCCGGGAGCCCCGGGGGCGCUCCGGCCGCUCCGGGAAGCGGCGGCCUCCCGGCCGCACCGGCUCAGCCCGGCCCGGGCCGACCCCUGGCCUCUCUGGGGGAACUCUCCCCGUCCCCUUCCCGGUGAGCGCCCGAGAAACCUUUUCCGGGUCCCCCUCCUGCGGCUGGGGCUGCGCCUUGGCGGCCGGAGCCCGCGGGCGGACGCCCCGGGGCCGAGCUGGGCCGGGAGGCUGGGUCCGGGGGCGCCGGGACGGGAUCUGGCGGCCCGGCGGCCCGGCUGUGCUCCCCGGCGGGCCCGCGCUCCGGCUCCGUCCCGCUGAGGCGGUCGCCGGUCGCCGGGUGCCACCUGGCGGCCGCUUUUAUAUCGUCUCUUUCCUCCGGAGCUCCGGCGACGCGGGCCAAGGGACGGGACUCGGCCGCGGUGACCGAGGCAGAGUCCCGGGAGGCCGGCGUCGCUGGCGGGAUCUGGCCCGAUGGCGGACGAUGGGCGGGGGCGACACGCCCUCGGUGAGAAAGCCUUCUCUAGCGAUCCGAGAGGGUGCCUUGGGGUACCGGACCCCCAGCCGCCGCCCCUCCUCUGCGCGUAGUAGCCACGGACGCCACCACCGUGGCGCGUGGGCAGAGCCGCUCUUUGCCUACCGCGGCCGGCGCCUCCCCCCUCCGAGUCGGGGAGGGUCACGCCCGGCCGGGCCGUCGUUGGGCGCGGGGCCGCGCGUGUGCGCGAGCGUGCGCGUGGUUCUCCCGUCGCGUGCUGGGGUGGGGAGAGGGCCCGGCCCUGUCCGGGCUCCGCCCGCCGCGAGCGGCUGGCUCUCCGCUCGCUCCCGUCCCGAGCCGCAGCCGGUGGUGGCGUGCGGGCAUGGGUGGGGGCCGCCGCCGCUCUCGGGCGCGUUCCCUCGGGACGUGGGUCCCGGAGCAGACCAGACAGGCAGACGGGUGGCUGGGGCCGGGCCCGCGGGAGGCCGAAGGGUGGCUGAGGCCGGCCGGCGUCCCAGGCGUCGUGGGACCGCCCUCGCGUGUCGUUGGCGGUGGGAUCCCGCGUGUGUUUUCCUGGUGGCCCGUCCGCGCCCGAGGCCGUCCCCGGGAGCCUUCCCGCGAGCCCGCGCUCCCUCCGUCGAGGCGCGCGCCGCGCUCCCCGUUGCCGCCGGUGCUCCCCGCCCGGGCAGACGCCUGGCCGCGCCGCCCACCGGCCGGGACCGAAAUGGGCCUCGCCGCGCGGGUGUCGCCUCCGGCCACCGAGGCCGGUGGUGCCCGGGCGAAGUGCCUCGGCUCCGGUUGGGUGGCGCCCGUGCGCCAGGCGCCCGGCGUGGGACGCCGGCGCCGUGUGCGGGAGAGCCCUGGCCGUGGAGGUGGGUGGUGGGGCCGAGCCCCCGUGAGCUGCGCGCGGGCGACGGGGCCAGUCGCCGUUCCGGGCGCUGCGGACCGCCCCUGGUGCUGGAGGCCCCUGGCGGUGAGACCCCGUGUGUGCUCCGGCGGCCGACUUGCCUCGGGAGGCUCUGUCUUCCCUCCUUGCCCCGAGCGCGUCUCUCGGCGGGCCGCGGCCCUUCCUCCACCGCCACCGCCUCUCCGGCGCCUCGGCCCUCGCCGCCGUCGGCCUUCUCCCGAGCCCUUCCCCGUCGUCGCCUGUUCUGGCUGCCCGACGGGGCCCCGCCCCGAGCGCGACUCGCUUCCCGGGGCCGCUGCGGCCUCCUCCGUGUCCGCCGCCGCUGCCCGCGCGACGGCGACGUUGCGUGCGGGCGGGGACCGUCCCCCGCGGCGCCCCGUUCUGGCGCGCGCGUGUCUGUCGCAGCGCGGGUCGGGUCCCGGGCAGCCGUCGUGACCGGCCGCCGGCGCGCCGCGCCACCCCUGGGGCGGGGGUCGGGCCUCGGUCCGGCUCUCGGCCCGCGGGGGCGUGCGCGGGCAGCCGGCCGGCCGGUGUCGACGCGACUGCCUGGUGCCCCGGCCCCGCUCACGCGCCGUCAAUCGGGGCCGCCGCGAGGGGCGCCCCCGCCCCUCCACGCCGCCGCGCGCGCGUCCUCGUCGGCCGGGGCGGGCGGCGGGGUCCGUCCGUCCUCGCCCCGCCCCCGCGCCUCGGGUGCCGCCGCCGCCGCCGCCUCCGUGCGCCCCGCGCCCGGGCACGCACGGCCCGUGCCGCGAGAGGUCGCCGCCGCCGCCGCCGCCGC